CGGCGUAACCCUGUUGUGGGGAGAUGUAGUGAACGUGAGAGUCGAUGCCGCCGGCGGUGAGGAUGAGAUGCUCGCCGGUGAUGGCGUCGGUGGAAUUGCCCACGAUAAGAUCAGGAUCGACACCAUUCAUCAUAGACGGGUUGCCGCUCUUGCCGAUGCCCACGAUCCUGCCGUCCCGGAUGCCCACGUCGGCUUUGAUGACGCCCUGCACCGCGUCGAUGACGGUGACGUUUGUGAUGACGAGAUCAAGCACGCCGGCAUCGCGGUUCAGGCGGGCAUCGCCGCCCAUGCCGCCG
rfam:Bilophila wadsworthia 3_1_6 genomic scaffold acCls-supercont2.3, whole genome shotgun sequence.